CUACGGGUUGCUGCAGUGAGGAAUAUUGCGCAAUGGGGGAAACCCUGACGCAGCGACGCCGCGUGGAUGAUGAAGGCCUUAGGGUCGUAAAAUCCUGUCAGGUGGGAAGAAGUGGAUAUAGAUUAAUACUCUAUUUCUUUGACGGUACCACCAAAGGAAGCACCGGCUAACUCCGUGCCAGCAGCCGCGGUAAUACGGAGGGUGCAAACGUUGUUCGGAAUUACUGGGCGUAAAGCGCGCGUAGGCGGUUUGUUAAGUCAGAUGUGAAAGUCCAGGGCUCAACUAUGGAAGUGCAUUUGAAACUGGCAGACUUGAGUACUGGAGGGGGUGAUGGAAUUCCCGGUGUAGAGGUGAAAUUCGUAGAUAUCGGGAGGAAUACCGGUGGCGAAGGCGAUCACCUGGCCAGAUACUGACGCUGAGGUGCGAAAGCGUGGGGAGCAAACAGGAUUAGAUACCCCCGUAGUC
rnacentral:rRNA from 1 species